UUAUCCGCAAGGAGUGUAGGGUUAAGGCUGAGGGAAAGACAGGACCUGUGCCUUCAGAUAUUU
rnacentral:misc_RNA from 1 species